UCGGGAAUUUUGGGCAAUGGGCGAAGGCCUGACCCAGCAACGCCGCGUGAAGGAUGAAGUAUUUCGGUAUGUAAACUUCGAAAGAAUAGGAAGAAUAAAUGACGGUACUAUUUAUAAGGUCCGGCUAACUACGUGCCAGCAGCCGCGGUAAUACGUAGGGACCAAGCGUUGUUCGGAAUCACUGGGCAUAAAGCGCGCGUAGGCGGGACGACAAGUCGGCUGUGAAAUCCCUCAGCUUAACUGAGGAGCUGCAGCCGAUACUGUCAUUCUCGAGGACGAAAGGGGAGAGCGGAACUUCUGGUGAAGCGGUGAAAUGCGUAGAUAUCAGAAGGAACGCCGGUGGCGAAAGCGGCUCUCUGGUUCGUAUCUGACGCUGAGGCGCGAAAGCUUGGGUAGCAAACGGGAUUAGAUACCCAUGUAGUCCCUGAGCGGGCUGGCAAGGCGCAU
rnacentral:rRNA from 1 species